UACGGAGGGUGCAAGCGUUAAUCGGAAUUACUGGGCGUAAAGCGCACGCAGGCGGUCUGUCAAGUCGGAUGUGAAAUCCCCGAGCUUAACCUGGGAACUGCAUUCGAAACUGGCAAGCUAGAGUCUGGUAGAGGAGGGUAGAAUUCCAGGUGUAGCGGUGAAAUGCGUAGAGAUCUGGAGGAAUACCGGUGGCGAAGGCGGCCACCUGGACAAAGACUGACGCUCAGGUACGAAAGCGUGGGGAGCAAACAGG
rnacentral:misc_RNA from 1 species